rnacentral:rRNA from 1 species
GACGAACGCUGGCGGCGUGCUUAACACAUGCAAGUCGAACGGAAAGGCCCUGCUUUUGUGUGGUUCUCGAUUGGCGAACGGGUGAGUAACACGUGAGUAACCUGCCCUUGACUUUGUGAUAACUUCAGGAAACUGGGGCUAAUACCGGAGAGGAUCUCCUGCUGCAUGGUGUGGGUUGGAAAGUGUCGGCGGUUGGGGAUGGACUCGCGGCUUAUCAGCUUGUUGGUGGGGUAGUGGUUUACCAAGGCUUUGACGGGUAGCCGGCCUGAGAGGGUGACCGGCCACAUUGGGACUGAGAUACGGCCCAGACUGCUACGGGAGGCAGCAGUGGGGAAUAUUGCACAAUGGGCGGAAGCCUGAUGCAGCAACGCCGCGUGCGGGAUGCCGGCCUUCGGGUUGUAAACCGCUUUCGCAUGUGCCGAAGAGUGAGUGACGGUAAUGGGUAAAGAAGCACCGGCUAACUACGUG